CACAGUAACUUGUACAUUCAGCUUUUUCUGUUGCCAAGAGACAUACUGUAAGAUGUCAGAUUUGUUCUGUAUUGUUGAGUGCAGUGAAAGUUGAUAAAAAUGCUAGAAAGUUAUCGUCAGUAUCGUGGUUUGUUAGCUGCAGAAGUAGUCCAGUUUUUUGCAUUGUGCCAUCGUUUUUUGACUUGAUGCAAAAUGACCCUGGAGUGAUGCAGCUUGUGUCAGCUGCGUCUGGCGAUGAUCAUCGAAAGUGAGGGAAACUCCAGACGGGUGGUGGAAGAAGCUAGUGAAUUAAUUAUGGCAUCUAUCUACGAGAAUACAAGCAAUGUAAUUGGACACAAAGUUCAAGCAAAAAGCCAGUCAAGAUAUGUUUUAUCAAUACAAGCAGCUAUUCAGAGGCAAAACCUAUGUCAACACCAGUGUAUUCCAGUAGUUUACUUUCUGAAGGCCGUAGCAACUUUCUCUAAGUCCACAAUGAUUAUUGGGUUAAAUCCGAGGAAAGUUGUGGCUAAAAAAAGCUCCUGUGUUUGAGUGAAAAAGUACUUCUAGGCCCUCAAAACCAUUGGGUUCAUCAUUGCCUAAAUUCCAGAGUCAUUUUGCACUGAUACAGCUGGUGAACAUACCAGUGCUUGUAUCAUACCGACGAAUAAUAAGAGUCGCAACACACGAAUCGGCGCCAACACGUAGUUGCUCCUUCACCUUGUAUAAUAAUAGUCCUAUCAGCACAACCAUUGACCAAACAGUCACAAUCACAGCAACAAAAGAUACCACCAUCAAUUUCACAAGUUUAAUUCAAAAAGCAGAGAAAUUCUGCAGCAAGAUAAAGCACAGUAAAGUCUAUUGUGAUCAAAAGCAGGGACUCUCUGGUUUCAGAUGAACAAGCAAGCAGAGCAGGCUACCCAUCUACAUAUAUGACAGCAUGAAUGAUGAGUCUGAUCAGCGCCCUCUAUGAUAAUAUCAGGAAUGCAGUUGAAACAUUGAAAAGUAACAGUAAAGAGUGCAUAUAGUGGUUCCAUGAUUUCCAAGUUUAAGGAUCAUAAUGAUUUCUACUCGUAUGUUAAUAUGAAAGGAAUGGUCUUCAAUGGAGAUUGUGUAUACUGGAAACCAAAAAGAACAAUUGAGACAGCAAAAGACACAACCAUCAACUUCUGAAGUUUUACACCAGAAGCAGAAAAAUUCUGUUGCAGUGAAAUCUAUGGCGAGAAGCAGGGAUUCGCUGGUUUCAUAUGGACCAAUUAAAAGCCAGCAAGCCAAGCAGAGUGCCCAGUUCACAUGUCAGGAUGAAUGAGUCUUAUUUCAAUAGCGCCCUCUAUGAUAGUGUCUGGAGUGCAGUUGAAACAUUGAAUAGUGAAAGUAAAGAGUGGUUUGGGAGACAAGGCCUGUAGCCAUUGUGUGAUGACAGGAUGUGUGGCCUGUAGAUCUGAAGAUUCUCUCCACAGCCAUGUAAUGCACAGUGAGUUUGAAAAACUGAUUGAGUGCAGGCCGAGUGAUUGCGAACGUUUUAAUGUCUUGCUACUACUCUUAGUUAGCAUCACUGAAAUUCUCAUUGUCAACCAAACUCAUUGAAGAAAUCAGUUAAAGAGGCAAAUCUUGUCAAACUAAGUAAUGUUGCUACCAUUUACCUGUUUCUGUUGCCAAGAGCCAUAAGAUGUCAAAUUUGCUCUGUAUUGCUGAGUGCAGUUAAAGUUGAUCGAGAUGCUAGUAAGAAUUACUAUGAAGAAGACAGUUGAGACAGAUUUUAUGCCACCAAAAUCCUCCUCAUAGCCCUCAGCUAGGCAGAAG
rnacentral:lncRNA from 1 species